GCAUAACGCGAAGAACCUUACCAGGCCUUGACAUGCAGAGAACUUUCCAGAGAUGGAUUGGUGCCUUCGGGAACUCUGACACAGGUGCUGCAUGGCUGUCGUCAGCUCGUGUCGUGAGAUGUUGGGUUAAGUCCCGUAACGAGCGCAACCCUUGUCCUUAGUUACCAGCACGUUAUGGUGGGCGACGUCUAAGGAGACUGCCGGUGACAAACCGGAGGAAGGUGGGGAGUGACGUCAAGUCAGUCAUGGCCCUUACGGCCUGGGCUACACACGUGCUACAAUGGUCGGUACAGAGGGUUGCCAAGCCGCGAGGUGGAGCUAAUCUCACAAAACCGAUCGUAGUCCGGAUCGCAGUCUGCAACUCGACUGCGUGAAGUCGGAAUCGCUAGUAAUCGCGAAUCAGAAUGUCGCCGGUGAAUACGUUCCCGGGUCUUGUACACACCGAGUCGUGGG
rnacentral:rRNA from 1 species